rnacentral:misc_RNA from 1 species
UACGCACCGUCCAAACGUUAUUCGGAAUUACUGGGCUUAAAGGGUACGUAGGCGGCGCUUCAAGUCGGGUGUGAAAUCCCUCGGCUCAACCGAGGAACUGCGCCCGAUACUGGGGUGCUUGAGGGAGACAGAGGUAAGCGGAACUGAUGGUGGAGCGGUGAAAUGCGUUGAUAUCAUCAGGAACACCGGUGGCGAAAGCGGCUUACUGGGUCUCUUCUGACGCUGAGGUACGAAAGCUAGGGUAGCGAAGGGG